UACAGAGGGUGCAAGCGUUAAUCGGAAUUACUGGGCGUAAAGCGCGCGUAGGUGGUUUGUUAAGUUGGAUGUGAAAUCCCCGGGCUCAACCUGGGAACUGCAUUCAAAACUGACAAGCUAGAGUAUGGUAGAGGGUGGUGGAAUUUCCUGUGUAGCGGUGAAAUGCGUAGAUAUAGGAAGGAACACCAGUAGCGAAGGCGACCACCUGGACUGAUACUGACACUGAGGUGCGAAAGCGUGGGGAGCAAACAGG
rnacentral:rRNA from 1 species